rnacentral:rRNA from 1 species
GCGUGGGAAUCUACCCAGUUCUACGGAACAACUGAGGGAAACUUCAGCUAAUACCGUAUACGCCUACGGGGAAAGAUUUAUCGGAAUUGGAUGAGCCCGCGUUGGAUUAGCUAGUUGGUGGGGUAAUGGCCUACCAAGGCGACGAUCCAUAGCUGGUCUGAGAGGAUGAUCAGCCACACUGGGACUGAGACACGGCCCAGACUCCUACGGGAGGCAGCAGUGGGGAAUAUUGGACAAUGGGCGCAAGCCUGAUCCAGCCAUGCCGCGUGAGUGAUGAAGGCCUUAGGGUUGUAAAGCUCU